rnacentral:rRNA from 1 species
CCAAUAGCGUAUAUUAAAGUUGUUGCAGUUAAAAAGCUCGUAGUUGAAUUUCGGGAUCAAUGCGUCGGUCGUGCCUUCGGUACGUACUAGCGUCAUUGAUUCCUCCCUUCUGAAGAACCGUGAUGUCAUUAAUUUGGUGUUACGGGGAAUCAGGACUGUUACCUUGAAAAAAUUAGAGUGUUUAAAGCAGGCUAACGCUUGAAUACAUUAGCAUGGAAUAAUGAAAUAGGACGUUCGAACCUAUUUUGUUGGUUUCUAGGAUCGACGUAAUGAUUAAUAGGGAUAGUUGGGGGCAUUAGUAUUCAAUUGUCAGAGGUGAAAUUCUUGGAUUUAUUGAAGACUAACUACUGCGAAAGCAUUUGCCAAGGAUGUUUUCAUUAAUCAAGAACGAAAGUUAGGGGAUCGAAGACGAUCAGAUACCGUCGUAGUCUUAACCAUAAACUAUGCCGACUAGGGAUCGGAUGAUGUUAAUUUUUUAAUGACUCAUUCGGCGCCUUACGGGAAACCAAAGUGUUUGGUUC